UCGACGAGGCAUUUACACGGAAUCCCUCGGGAGGAAGUGUGAAUGACUGAGUGGCGGACGGGUGAGUAACGCGUGGGCAACCUGCCCCGUACCGGGGGAUAACAGCCGGAAACGGCUGCUAAUACCGCAUAUGCUUUGCGGGCCGCAUGGCCCGCAAAGCAAAACUCCGGUGGUACGGGAUGGGCCCGCGUCUGAUUAGCUGGUUGGCGGGGUAACGGCCCACCAAGGCGACGAUCAGUAGCCGGCCUGAGAGGGCGGCCGGCCACAUUGGGACUGAGACACGGCCCAGACUCCUGCGGGAGGCAGCAGUGGGGAAUAUUGCACAAUGGGGGAAACCCUGAUGCAGCGACGCCGCGUGGGCGAGGAAGUACCUCGGUAUGUAAAGCCCUAUCAGCAGGGAAGAAACAGGACAGUACCUGACUAAGAAGCCCCGGCUAACUACGUGCCAGCAGCCGCGGUAAUACGUAGGGGGCAAGCGUUAUCCGGAUUCACUGGGCGUAAAGGGAGCGCAGGCGGCAUGGCAAGUCUGAUGUGAAAACCCGGGGCCCAACCCCGGGAGUGCAUUGGAAACUGCCAGGCUGGAGUGUCGGAGGGGUAAGCGGAAUUCCUAGUGUAGCGGUGACAUGCGUAGAUAUUAGGAGGAACACCAGUGGCG
rnacentral:rRNA from 1 species